rnacentral:rRNA from 1 species
UACGUAGGGUGCGAGCGUUGUCCGGAAUUAUUGGGCGUAAAGAGCUCGUAGGCGGUGUGUCGCGUCGGCCGUGGAAAACCUGGGGCUUAACUCGUGGCGUGCGGUCGAUACGGGCAUCACUAGAGUUCGGGCAGGGGAGACUGGAAUUCCUGGUGUAGCGGUGAAAUGCGCAGAUAUCAGGAAGAACACCGACGGCGAAGGCAGCUCGCUAGGACGGUACUGACGCUGAGGAGCGAAAGCCAGGGGAGCAAACGGGA